rnacentral:misc_RNA from 1 species
AAGUCGUAACAAGGUUUCCGUAGGUGAACCUGCGGAAGGAUCAUUAUCGAUUCAACACAAAUGAGAAGGGAGUCGUUUGCAGCUGUGCUGGCCUCCGACAAAGGGGCAUGUGCACGCUCGACUUCUCCUUUUCUUCAUUUACACACCUGUGAACCUGUUUGUAGGGUGUCUCGCAAGGGAUGCUCUAUGUCUUUUUCAUAUACUCCAUCGUAUGUUUAUAGAAUGUAUCUUUUUGCUCUCGUCAGAGACAAAAGUAAAGCCUUUAUAACUUUCAGCAACGGAUCUCUUGGCUCUC